rnacentral:lncRNA from 1 species
GGGAGAGCGAAGGCUGCAGCGCGCCCGGCAGCCGGGAUGCAGCGGCGCCGCCCAAGCCUGGGGCGCAGGGGUCGGGGCACACGGGGAUAGGCCCGACGCGGGGCCGAAGGAAGGGUGGUCUUUCCCGCAGAGUUGCCGCUGGAGGACCGAAAGUUUUGCAGGCAGCCCUUGCUUCCAGCUUGUCGCUCUCUCCCCGCGUCCCUGUCGCCCAACGCGAGGCGCCCCCGCUGGGGUCCCGACGGCUUGGUGGGGAGGAGCCGUGAGGGGUUGCGCCCCCCACCCCCACCCGAGCCAGGGAAGGGACCCUGGUGACCUCGCCUCCCAGCCCUCACCCCCGUCACCCCUUUCUUCUCUUUCCUGGAGGACUUUGGACCAUGGAGAUUCUGCAGUUGUUGCUCUAGGAGCUGAAACCAGUGGGUAGAUGUCGUUCUGAAACGCAGUCAACCAAUAUUGCCUGUCAUGGAACAGCUGUGCCCUCCUGUCAGGAGGGAAAGAUGAGUGAGACCCAUCCUCACCCUCACAGAGAUGCAGUCUGGUGGUCUCUGGAAGAAGGAAGUUGUGAAACUUACCGAUUCCUUGGGAAAACAGGCAGCAGAGUCUGUCAAGUGGAGGUUACUACACAGGACCUUGAAGAGAGUCUGACAGCCCAAAUAUUAUUUCCUUCUAUUUGGGAUGAUUUUACUCCACAGUACGGUAAAUUGUGGGCUAGAAUCUAAAAGUGAUUUAGCAUCUCUACAAAAGAAGACUUCACAGGCAUUGCCACAUUUAAUUGAUAACAGAGUAUGUCUACAUUGUUGCAGUUAGUUAUGGAGUAUAAUUGUAGAGUUGCUUUACUCUAAGCCUUCUCCAGUCUCUCCAUUGACUAUAGACAUAAUAAUACUGACUUGUUGAAACUAUAACCCAUCUAUGACUGUGUUGGAUAACAUGACUGUCAAUCAAAUUGCAUAACUGAGAGGCAGAGAAUAAAGAAAGCAUCGCUCAUCAAACUACUAGACAUUUACACUUGACUUUGGAUGAAAAUUGAGAUGGAGUCUUGUUCUGUUGCCCAGGCUCACUGCAACCUCCGCUUCCUGGGUUCAAGCUGUUCCCCUGCCUCAGCCUCCCAAGUAGCUGGGACUACAAGUGCCUGCCACCACGUCUGGCUAAUUUUUUAUUUUUUAUUUUUUUGUAAUUUUAGUAGAGACAGGGUUUCACCAUGUUGGCCAGGCUAGCCUCUAACUCCUGACCCCAGGUAAUCCACCUACCUCAGCCUCCCAAAGUGCUGGGAUUACAGGUUUGAGCCACAGUGCCCAGCCUAUGAUUAUUUCUUUAGGAUGCUUUUCUGUAAAUGGAAUUGCCAAGUCAAAGUGGAUGCACAUUUACAAUUUUGAAAUUGCCAAACUUUGCCAGGGUGUAUGAGAAUUCCCAUUUCCUCAUGGCCUCAUAGGUGCUGUAUGGAUGAUUCUUUUUCAUCUUUCAGUCUGAGGAGAGAAUUUCAUCUCCAGCUUGUUUCAGUUGUAUCUCUGCUUAUUGAUGAUUUGUAUUUCAUUUUUUUGUAAAUUGCCUACCUUUCUUUUAGAGUGUUCACCUUUCUCUUAAUGAAUUGUGAAAGCUCUUUAUAUUU